rnacentral:rRNA from 1 species
UUCCGGUUGAUCCUGCCGGACCCCACUGCUAUCGGGAUGAGACUAAGACAUGCUAGUCGUGCACCUCUAGGCCACGGUGGAGGCGCGGCGCACAGCUCAGUAACACGUGGCUAACCUACCCUUGGGACGGAAAUAACCCCGGGAAACUGGGGCUAAUUUCCGAUAGGUGAAGAUUCCUGGAAUGGAUCUUCGCCGAAAAGGCGUCUAGACCAUGCUUCUAGGCGCUGCCCAAGGAUGGGGCCGCGGCCGAUCAGGUUGUUGGUGAGGUAACGGCUCACCAAGCCUAUAACCGGUACGGGCCGUGGGAGCGGUAGCCCGGAGAUGGGCACUGAGACAAGGGCCCAGGCCCUACGGGGCGCAGCAGUCGCGAAACCUCCGCAAUACGCGAAAGCGUGACGGGGUCAUCCCGAGUGCCGUCCGCUGAGGAUGGCUUUUCCCCAGUGUAGACAGCUGGGGGAAUAAGGAGAGGGCAAGUCGGGUGUCAGCCGCCGCGGUAAUACCCGCUCUCCGAGUGGUGGGGACGCUUAUUGGGCCUAAAGCAUCCGUAGCCGGCUGGACAAGUCCCCUGUUAAAUCCAGCGAUUUAAUCGUUGGACUGCGGGGGAUACUGUCCGGCUAGGGGGCGGGAGAGGCCGACGGUAUUUCCGGGGUAGGGGUGAAAUCCUAUAAUCCCGGGAGGACCACCAGUGGCGAAGGCUGUCGGCUAGAACGCGCCCGACGGUGAGGGAUGAAAGCUGGGGGAGCGAACCGGAUUAGAUACCGGGGUAGUCCCAGCCGUAAACGAUGCAGGCUAGGUGUUCGGGUGGCUACGUGCCACUCGAGUGCCGCAGGGAAGCUGUUAAGCCUGCCGCCUGGGGAGUACGGCCGCAAGGCUGAAACUUAAAGGAAUUGGCGGGGGA